UUCUCAUUUUUUUUGAUUUCUUUUCUUCCUCUGAUGGAUUCUCUGAUUCCCUGAAAAUUGAGAGAACUCGACUAAAAUCACAAAAAGGUUAUAAUCUCUACGGACAACCACUUCUAGUUGCUAAUGGCGUUCAUGUUGAUUGAAUUAUAAUCGGAGAAGAUGAAUUUUUUUCUCUUCAACUCAGUAACUUGAAUUUUAUGGAAAGUGGUUCUCACCCAAUUGAUCCAAAGAUUCAUAACAAAUUGCAAGUUUUUGCAUCGCACUGUAUGCAUGAAUGGUUGGGUACUUUCUGUAAAUUCCUGAUUGAAGUGAAUUUGUGAAAAACAGAGAAAUUAGGGUUCAUAUAAAUUUUGGGGCUUUUCUUCCUUAUGUAUAUUUCAUUUUCAAAUGCUUGAAUGGGUUUUCACAGAUUUAUUUAAAUCUCGGUCUUGUUGUGAUGUUUAGCCAAAUUUCUUAUCUAACUGGAUUAGACUUAAUCCUAAUAAUGGUUAUCGUAUGGUUUAUGAUCAGUGCAUUGAAUUUUAGGGGAAAUGAUUGUGUUGCAUUUUUCUAUUUUCUUUUGUGAGUGCUAUCAAGGCCUGUAAAUGUUGGGAUUCUGGUAGAGUUCGUUUUUGCAGAAUAAAGGAGCCUUAUGAAGGUGGUAGAGUUCGUUUUUCCCAACAUAAAGGAUUCUGGUAGAGUUCGUUUUUCCCAACAUAAGAAGUCUCUCUCUGGGUAUCAAUUUUGCUGCAACGUUGGUGGUCAGUCACCCACAAAGGUCAAGAUUUGUACCUAUGAGUUUGUGCCGUCCUGGACGUAAUAUGUUCAAACAUAGUGAUGGAUGUUUGGUGCAGAGUAUACAAAAGGCUAAUGGAAACUUUAGUCAAUAGUCUGAGUUUAGUUUCUGAAGUGUCUUUGUAGGACCUUACCAACAAGGUACUUUAUGGGAUUCUUGUAAAAAGACUUGGUACGGUGUCUCCCUUCUCUAGUCUCCUUGUAUUACAUAAAUUGAAAAUGUCAUUUUAGUUUGUGUUAUGUAUACACUAAGUGAAACAGUAAGAAGGGAAGCAAUAAUACUUCAAAUUUGGCAUAUAACUUUUGUAUUCAUUUUACUUAAAUUAGUAGAUUGGGAAAAGGUGUUGGUUGA